UGAGAUAUAUUAUUGUACAUUUAUAUUUACUUUUUCCAUAGGCAAUCAUAAAUGCCCUGGCUGUCUCCUGGCUGGGAUAUCUCCUCACAGGAGGCUGAGCAGGUCUUCCUUUCUGGUCUGGAUUAUCAUUGCAGAGUUGAAGCCAUUCCUGCAGCAACUGGUGGAAAACGGGGGAUCUUUUUGGUGCUUUUGUUCUAGCAUAAAUAAUUUUGUUCUUUCGUAUAAUAUAAAUAAAUACAUAUGUAUAUAUAAAUAAAUUCAUGCUUGAAUCAUUCUCGA